rnacentral:rRNA from 1 species
UACGUAGGGUGCAAGCGUUAAUCGGAAUUACUGGGCGUAAAGCGUGCGCAGGCGGUUUGUUAAGUCAGCUGUGAAAUCCCCGGGCUCAACCUGGGAAUGGCAGUUGAGACUGUCAGGCUGGAGUGUGUCAGAGGGGGGUAGAAUUCCACGUGUAGCAGUGAAAUGCGUAGAGAUGUGGAGGAAUACCGAUGGCGAAGGCAGCCCCCUGGGAUAACACUGACGCUCAAGCACGAAAGCGUGGGGAGCAAACAGG